rnacentral:rRNA from 1 species
CGGGGUGAGUAAUGUCUGGGAAACUGCCUGAUGGAGGGGGAUAACUGCUGGGAACGGUAGCUAAUACCGCAUAACGUCGCAAGACCAAAGAGGGGGACCUUCGGGCCUCUUGCCAUCGGAUGUGCCCAGAUGGGAUUAGCUAGUAGGUGGGGUAACGGCUCACCUAGGCGACGAUCCCUAGCUGGUCUGAGAGGAUGGCCAGCCACACUGGAACUGAGACACGGUCCAG